AUGUUGGGGCGAGGGACAGCGGACACGGACACGGGCUUGGCUCCCGAGUCCUCUGGCGUGGCCUUUUUUUCUUCUGGCAGAGGGCGGAGGGAGAGGCCCUGGGGGAAGGGCGGGCUGGCAUUCGCGGUGCAAUACUGCCAUCAAGCGGAAAGUCCUCGGAGGGGGGGGGAUCCGGGAGCCCGGCGCCAUGCUCUCUGUCCCGCGUGGAGGGGCCCCGGGAGUGACGUGGAGGGAGUCCGGGGACGGACGGACGGACGGACGGACGGGAUGGAGCGCGAGGGAGGUCCCAGGUCCGGGGGCCUGGGGGCCUGGCCGGUCGGGCCCGGGAAGCCCCAAGCCACGUCUGGGCCGGACUGGAGCGGGGUGACGCAGCCACCCGGGCCGGGCCAGGGGGCGCCGGGCCCGUGGCCGCGCGUGCCCCUUCUCCCGGGAGCUAGAGCAGGAUCCGUGGGGCCUUUGGCCGCCAGCCCCCUGCAGCCCCGCCUACGACCCGCACGGGAACCUGGAGGGCUGCCGCCACUGCUGGUGCGGACGGAGGCGGGGGACAUCAGGGUCCCCGUGUCCGGAUCGCGGGAAGGGGAACGGGUGUGGAGCCGGGCCACCCGGUGUCAAGGGGGGGGCCUUGAGCGUGAGGCGGUUUUGGGAGGCGGCGGUGGGGUAGGGGCGGGGGAGGAGGUGGUGGCGGAGCUCACCAGGAGGAGCAGAGAGUCCCAGAGGGACGGAGGGACGGGCCCCUGGUGGGGGCAGCAGCAGCACCAGCGGGCCUCCCCGCCUUCCUC
rnacentral:lncRNA from 1 species